GGGGCUACCAUGCAGUCGAACGAGAAAGGGACUGCUUGCAGUCUCGAGUAGAGUGGCGCACGGCCUGAGUAACACGUGGAUAAUCUACCUUCAAAUUUAGGAUAACUAUUCGAAAGAAUAGCUAAUACUGAGAUAAAGUCCUUUUAGCCUUGGUUAAUUGGAUGAAAGACAGCCUCUGAUAUAAGCUGUUGUUUGGAGAUGAGUCCGCGCACCAUUAGCUGGUUGGUGGGGUAAAGGCCUACCAAGGCGACGAUGGUUAGCUGGUCUGAGAGGAUGAUCAGCCACACUGGAACUGACACACGGUCCAGACUCCUACGGGAGGCAGCAGUGAGGGAUUUUGCGCAAUGGGGGAAACCCUGACGCAGCAACGCCGCGUGAGUGAAGAAGGCCUUUGGGUCGUAAAGCUCUGUCGACAGGGAAGAAGUUGCAGUAUAUUAACAGUGUAUUGCAUUGACGGUACCUGUAGAGGAAGCAUCGGCUAACUCCGUGCCAGCAGCCGCGGUAAUACGGGGGAUGCAAGCGUUAUUCGGAAUCAUUGGGCGUAAAGGGCACGCAGGCGGUUCUGUCAGUCAGAUGUGAAAGCCCGGGGCUUAACCCCGGACGUGCAUUUGAAACAGCAGGACUUGAGUACGGUAGAGGAAAGCGGAAUUCCUGGUGUAGAGGUGAAAUUCGUAGAUAUCAGGAGGAACACCGGUGGCGAAGGCGGCUUUCUGGACCGAAACUGACGCUGAGGUGCGAAGGCGUGGGUAGCGAACAGGAUUAGAUACCCUGGUAGUCCACGCAGUAAACGUUGUACACUAGGUGUAGCGGGUAUUGACCCCUGCUGUGCCGGAGCUAACGCAUUAAGUGUACCGCCUGGGGAGUACCGNCCGCAAGGCUAAAACUC
rnacentral:rRNA from 1 species